CUAAAAUGACUCUCGGCAACGGAUAUCUCGGCUCUUGCAUCGAUGAAGAACGUAGCGAAAUGCGAUACUUGGUGUGAAUUGCAGAAUCCCGUGAACCAUCGAGUCUUUGAACGCAAGUUGCGCCUGAAGCCAUCUGGUUGAAGGCACGUCUGCCUGGGCGUCACGCAU
rnacentral:rRNA from 2 species